CCUACGGGAGACAGCAGUGAGGAAUAUUGGUCAAUGGGCGGAAGCCUGAACCAGCCAAGUCGCGUGAGGGAAUAAGGCCCUACGGGUCGUAAACCUCUUUUGCCGGGGAGCAAGGGCGGGGACGUGUCCCGGCCCGGAGAGUACCCGGAGAAAAGGCACGGGGAAACCCGUGGCAGGCGGCCGGGGAAUACGGAGGAUGCGGGCGUUAUCCGGAUUUAGUGGGGUUAAAGGGUGCGUAGGCGGGCUUUUAAGUCAGCGGUAAAAAUUCGGGGCUCAACCCCGUCCGGCCGUUGAAACUGGGGGCCUUGAGUGGGCGAGAAGAAGGCGGAAUGCGUGGUGUAGCGGUGAAAUGCAUAGAUAUCACGCAGAACCCCGAUUGCGAAGGCAGCCUUCCGGCGCCCUACUGACGCUGAGGCACGAAAGUGCGGGGAUCGAACAGGAUUAGAUACCCGGGUAGUC
rnacentral:rRNA from 1 species